UACAGAGGUCCCAAGCGUUGUUCGGAUUCAUUGGGCGUAAAGGGUGCGUAGGCGGCGCGGUAAGUCGGGUGUGAAAUCUCGGAGCUUAACUCCGAAACUGCAUUCGAUACUGCCGUGCUUGAGGACUGGAGAGGAGACUGGAAUUUACGGUGUAGCGGUGAAAUGCGUAGAUAUCGUAAGGAAGAUCAGUGGCGAAGGCGGGUCUCUGGACAGUUACUGACGCUGAGGCACGAAGGUCAGGGGAGCAAACGGG
rnacentral:rRNA from 1 species